UAAGGAAUAUUGGUCAAUGGGCGAAAGCCUGAACCAGCCACGCCGCGUGAAGGAAGACGGCCCUACGGGUUGUAAACUUCUUUUCUACGGGAAUAAACCUCAGGACGUGUCCUGAGCUGAAGGUACCGUAGGAAUAAGGAUCGGCUAACUCCGUGCCAGCAGCCGCGGUAAUACGGAGGAUCCAAGCGUUAUCCGGAUUUAUUGGGUUUAAAGGGUGCGUAGGUGGGAUGAUAAGUCAGAGGUGAAAGCUAGCAGCUUAACUGUUAAAUUGCCUUUGAUACUGUUAUUCUUGAGUGUAGUUGGCGUUGGCGGAAUGUGACAUGUAGCGGUGAAAUGCGUAGAUAUGUCACAGAACACCGAUCGCGAAGGCAGCUAACGAAGCUAUCACUGACACUGAUGCACGAAAGCGUGGGGAGCAAACAG
rnacentral:rRNA from 1 species